GGUUUUUCCAGUGAGCCACGACAGCGGAGAAGACUCGGAAGGUGACGAAGAAGAUGAUUUGGACAACACAAAGUUGAUCCCAGCCUACGCUUACAGCACCAUCUCUUUCCAAAAGAGACAGGCAUUAGUGACGUAUUUCGAGAAUAACAGAGCUGGAAUAACGAUAUACGGGUUUACCCUGGAUAGGACUACACUCCACACCAUCUUUGGAAUUGAGUUAUCCUUGGUUCUUUGGCUGCUUGGCAAAAC
rnacentral:misc_RNA from 1 species